UACGUAGGGUGCGAGCGUUAAUUGGAAUUACUGGGCGUAAAGCGUGCGCAGGCGGUUCGUUGUGUCGGUGGUGAAAUCCCCGGGCUUAACCUGGGAAUGGCCAUGGAAACUGGCGAACUGGAGUGUGGCAGAGGGGGGUGGAAUUCCGCGUGUAGCAGUGAAAUGCGUAGAGAUGCGGAGGAACACCGAUGGCGAAGGCAGCCCCCUGGGCUAGCACUGACGCUCAGGCACGAAAGCGUGGGGAGCAAACAGG
rnacentral:rRNA from 1 species